ACCAAGUGCCUUAACCGCUCUGGUUUAUGACCCAGGCAUUCCCUUGGGAAACGGGGAACGGAGGGUGAGGGUUUGAUGCCACAUGGUUCAGCCAAGAAAUGAAAAAAAAAAAAAAAAACACACCACCGAAACUAUUUCUGUUGAUCACUGAGUUUUUGGCGCCACCUUCAAUUUUGCUUCUGAGGUCCCAGCCUGGGCUUUUUCUUCUUGUGGAUGGCAGUGUCGCAGAGAGCAACUGGGAAUGCCCGAGGCCCCUUGAAGUCUUGGCCCCAGAGUGGCUUCCCUUCCUCCUUCCUCCUUCUGUUGCCAGAGCCAGUCACAGUGCCAAGCUCAAAGUCACAGGUGAACACUGUCUUGCCUCUCAGUGGGAGACACGACGGAGUUGGAACCAACAGUGCAAUCUGCCACAGGAGGAAGAUGAGACAGAGAGAGGUGAAGGAACUGCCCUGACUCAGGUCACGCUGCUGGUCUCUUGCACUGGCAGGCAGACUCUUUACCACUGUGCCGCCUGGGAAGCCUGAGGAGGGAGGAGGAGGCAUCACUCAGCUGGCCCCCCACUCCCAGCCCCCACUUAGCCCUAUGGGGGGUCCCUGCCUCAUGCAGUGACUGCUGCCUGCCCCCGUUCCCCUACCAUUGGAACUGGAACCUGGAGCUGCCCCCAGCUUGUACUGGUUGGAGGUAAAAGGAAAGAAAGGAUGGUGAUGACAAAGGAUGUUUCCUGCGUACCGAAGGCGUGUUUGACUUUUGAUGUUUGAUGUGUCCACAUCAGCCUUCUCAUGUGAGGACUGCCGAACCCAGG
ensembl:lncRNA